AAGUCGUAACAAGGUUUCCGUAGGUGAACCUGCGGAAGGAUCAUUAGCGAGAUUGCCGCGCGCCGGGCCCUUGCGGGUUCGCGCGCGUGAGCAAGCGCCAUCCUUGUGUUAUGUGUGGUGUCGCGUGUGCGCACUUCUCUCGGGGAGUGAGCACGUGCGCAUUCUUUUUCACCCAUCAUUCAUUUUUAUUCUAAUCUACUGCUCAUACGAGCACAAACAACCGAAAACUGCCAGCAAUGGAUCACUCGGUUCUC
rnacentral:misc_RNA from 1 species